GACAGGUGUGGAUGGGGAGGCGCAGUAGAAGCAGUAGAAGCAGCAGCAGCAGCAGCAGCAGCAGUCGGGCGCACCGACCGAAGCAUGCUCCAGUGCAGCCAUGACUUGCUCGGCGUCAGAUAGCGAGAAGAUCGUGAUCAACUGCGGCGGGAUCCGACACGAGACCUACCGGAGCACCCUGAAGACGCUGCCGGGGACGCGCUUGUCUUGGCUGACCGAGCCCGACGCAUAUAGCAACUUCGACUACGACCCCAAGUCCGACGAGUUCUUCUUCGACCGCCACCCGGCCACCUUUGCCUUCAUCCUAAACUACUACCGCACCGGGAAGCUGCACUGCCCCAACGAUGUCUGCGGGCCGCUCUUCGAGGAAGAACUCGCCUUCUGGGGCAUUGAUGAGACGGACGUUGAGGCGUGUUGCUGGAUGAACUACCGGCAGCAUCGCGAUGCUGAGGAAGCCCUGGACAGCUUCGAGCAGCCGGAGCCGGAAGAACCCGAUAAUGAUCCUGCGCUCACCGGCGGGGCGGACGGUGACCUGAAGCGGCUCUGCAUGCAGGAGGACAGCCGCAGGGCAUCACGGUGGGAGGUGUGGCGGCCCUUUAUGUGGGCGCUGUUCGAGGACCCCUAUUCCUCAAAAUAUGCCCGGUAUGUGGCAUUUGGCUCACUCUUCUUCAUCCUCCUCUCCAUCUCAACCUUCUGCCUGGAGACCCACGAAGUCUUCAACACCAUCUACAACAAAACGGAGAAUGUCACCAUCGGCAACGUGACACAUGAAGAGAUAGUGUAUGAGGUGGUCACAGAUGGCUGGCUGACGUAUGUGGAGGGCGUCUGUGUUAUUUGGUUCACCAUUGAGGUGAUGAUGCGCGUCAUCUUCUGCCCUGACAAGGCAGAGUUCUUCCACAGCGCCCUGAACAUCAUAGACUUUGUGGCCAUUGUGCCCUUUUACCUGGAGGUGGCAUUGAGUGGCCUCUCCUCAAAAACAGCCAAAGACGUGCUGAGCUUCCUGCGUGUGGUGCGUUUUGUCCGUAUCCUGCGUAUAUUCAAGCUGACCCGCCACUUUGUUGGUUUACGGGUCCUGGGCCACACUCUGCGGGCGAGCACCAACGAGUUCCUACUGCUCAUCAUCUUCUUGGCGCUGGGCGUCCUCAUCUUUGCCACCAUGAUCUACUACGCUGAACGUAUUGGUGCCGACCCAGAUGAUCCAACGGCUGCGGCCCACACUGCCUUCAAGAACAUCCCCAUUGGCUUCUGGUGGGCUGUGGUGACCAUGACCACACUGGGCUAUGGAGAUAUGUACCCUGAGACAUGGUCGGGAAUGCUGGUGGGAGCCCUCUGCGCCUUGGCUGGUGUGCUGACCAUUGCCAUGCCUGUGCCCGUUAUUGUCAACAACUUCGGCAUGUAUUACUCCCUGGCCAUGGCCAAGCAGAAGCUCCCCAAGAAGAGGAACAAGCACAUCCCCCGAGCGCCACAGCCAGGCAGCCCUAACUACUGCAAGCCAGACGCCCUAGCCAUGGCAACCGCCUCUCCUCACAGGCUGAUGGGCAAUGUGCUCGGCCCAGGCAUGGUAGGAUCUGGCAGCAUGAUGGGUACUGGAGACUGCCCAUUGGCACAGGAGGAGAUCAUUGAGAUCAACAGGGCAGAUUCUAAGCAAAAUGGCGAGACAGCGGCAAACACAGCAGCUUUGGCCAAUGAGGACUGCCCUACCAUAGACCAGGUGCUUGGGGAUGACCGCAGCCCAGCCACCGGGGGCCUUGGCUCCACCACUAGUCGUGAGCGUUACCCGCAUGACCGGGCCUGCUUCCUGCUGAGCGCGGGGGAAUUUCAGCGCACAACGGAUGGGAACGUUCGGAAAGUAGGAGGCACCGUGAACGGCUACUGGAGCGACAGCCCGUGGUAAAAGACGAGCGGAUGACAAAGGCCACAUGGGAAGAAGAGCGAGAACAUGACAUCAGACACAGCAUGCAAACAUAGAAAUAUGCAAUGUAGAUAAGUGGGACAGCACCGGUCGGUUCUGUGCUCGGAUAUAAUGUAUCUGUGGCAUAUGUGAAGAGUGUGAUACGGAUAUUUGUGUUAUGUAUGUGUGUGUCUGUGUGCCCAGACCUCCAUCUACCUCUGUACUAAGAUGCACAAAUGUCAACUUGAAAAAAUGCAUCCUUUUUCUUUGCUUCUCCAAAAAGAAAUCAUUGUUUCAGUUUAGUUUUGAUAUUGAUUAUGAACAGUUAUCAUUCUGCCAAUCAAUUUUUUGUUGAUCUGAUUUUGAAUGUUGACCUUUUUGUUUCAAACUAGAGUUUCCUGAUGUUACUGAAAUGUGUAUGACUUCAGAACAAUGUCAGACUUUGUCAUUGUUGUGUAGACAGUGAUUUCAUGUCUGCUGGUUAAGUUUCAUGUAUGUUUAAAUCCCUUGUCGCUCUCACCUUCUUUCUCUCCCACGUAAAACUAACAGAGGGCCUUCAGCCGGCAGAGCAUCUUGGAUGUGAUUUGCAUGAGAAUAUCCUUGGAGAGGAACCACUUCAAGUUGCAGAGAAAGUUUGUCUCUUGGAUCCGACCCCCCAAAAAAAUAAGUUUUGAAAUUUAGCAAUGGAUUCCUUUUCAGAGGAAUGUUUUCGUGCUCUUAUUAAUCUUCUUGCUGUUUCUUUUUUACUUUCAAAGCUGGGAAUGCCGGAAGGUGAGAGCAACAAAUGUGGAGAUAAUUGUAUAUUUGAGGAUUAAGUUUGGCAUUUUGAGAAGUACAUUUAUUCAGUUUCUUGCCAAGAGUGUGUGGGAAAAAAGUCGAUAUCAGUUUUAUGUCACGCUAAAUUUGGAGCUGUAGCCUGAAAGUGAUUAGCCUAGCUUAAAUUUAGGACUCGAAGCAGGGGGAAUAGCUAACCUGGCUUUGUCCCAUAGCAAAACCAUUAAACUGACACGGGGGAGUCACAGCACCUGUUGCUGUUCAACCACGAGCUGGUUUCACAGUUUUUAUUAGUGUACAGAUUAAUAAGAUACAUUGUCUGCAGUGUUGGAAUUUAGAUGCUUCAUCUUGGGCUUACGUUAGGUGACCCCAUUGAAAAUACUGCUUUGAGUUUAAUGCUAACCUAAUUUAAUUUAUCACCACCUGGCUAUAGCUCUGAAUUCUUCCAAUUUCUACUCUCACUGUCAGUGAGAGAGAGUUUUCCCAGGCUAUACCGUGAACCGCAAGAGUCCCUGAUUUGGGGCCAUGCAGGGCUUCCUGUUUCCUGUUUAGCCUCGUGCUCGAGCAGAGCAUCACUUUCCGUUUUGCUUCAGAAGUGCAAAGUGCAAAUGAGUGAUUUUGAAGUUUAAAUAUACUAGAAGUUCCACAUCAGUUUCUUAGUAAAAUAAUAUCAUUUCAACCACCCCAUCAUAUUAGACAUGCACAACAGGCACACACAGACACAUACACCUGCACACAUUCAUACAUAGCUAAAAACACCCCCCUCCCCCGAGCUUUUUGAUCUAAAUCAUUUCUCACCAUCUCACCCUCUCCGUAUCUCCCUUUCCUUCCCAAUGUGCUUUUGUUGUGAGUCACUUUCCUUGCUGAUUGGUUGCUUUUGUGAUGAUGAUGUACAUAUGUAAAGUUUGCGUUGUAGAUGAAUAUGCAUGGGUUUCCAACGCAAGCAAUAAGGAUACUGAUAUGGCUAGUAAUGUGAGGAGGUUUGAUAGAACUUAAGUCUCAAGUUUAAUGAAUGUGUAUAUAACAUUUAGAUUACUAAGGGUGUGUGUGGAUGUAUGCGUUUCGAAGCAUACAUAUGCACUAACAAAGCAUGCAGGACAAAAAAAUCAUCUCUUUGGAUGCAAGAAGAGGUGGGAUUGGCCAACAUUAUGCAUGCCAAAAUGCUAUGAUGCUAUUGGUCGGAGCAGACCAAGUUAGGUACUGUAACAAGGCCGGGUGGGGUGGGAAAGUUUAUUUUUGCAGGAUGGGAAGGGGUUAUAUUUCUGAUAGGUCUUGUAUAGCUGCUUUCUUAUCGAUCUUGAGAGACUUAUAGAGAAACAUAUUAACAAUCGUAGCUUUUGAUUUAAUUUCUUUUCUUUUUUUGCUUCUCUAUUCACAGAGAACUGUUCUGAAAGCCCUGCGCUUGUCAGAUAUAUGCAAAAAGAAACAGUAACUGUGAACUAAUGCUAACAAAUGAAAAAAACAAACAAAUCCAGCUUCUUCCAUCACUGUCUCAACUCCUCUACUUCUCCUUCUCCUUCCGAUUCUUCUUCUUCUUCCUUUUUUUCUUUGAGAAGAAAGACUCUUCUCCACCCAAGAGAUCCCCCUCCAUUACUUUCAUUCACCUGCGACUUCAUUCUCUGCUCAUGACACAUUUCCAUCGGUCCUGUCAAAUGAACUGCAAGGAGCUUAAAAGGAUAUCUCUGCUGUACGAGAAUCCAACAAUUCAAUGCAACCUCCCCCGAGGGAUGAGAGUCCAUCCCAGUUUAACCUGACCCUAGUAGUACUCCCACAGGGGGCACAAAACCCUAUUACUUUGAAUAUCGGAAUACUGGGUUGUGUAACAUUUUCCCUGUAAACAACUUAUCGAACAAUUUUUAAUUGUCAUUAUAAUCCUGUUUGGAACGUUUCACGAUGUUAAAGUGAGUCCCAGGAAGAGAGAGUACUUACUGCUCAAUACUUUUCUAUACUAAACAUGGAACCCCUCCAUGAAAACAGUAAUUCAGUCCAACAUUCGGCUUCAGGCUUCUCUAUCAGUCAUGUAUUCUCAGACCUCAGCCCCAUAAUCACACGCUGUGGCUGUGGUGAUUGCUGGUGAUUGCUAACCCUAACCCUCAUGAACUUAUUUCCUAGGUAGCAGCCAAUUAUGCUUUUAGAAACACCUUUAAAUUAAGAUUGACCUGACCCUCCCAUUAAAACUACAACCACCUAUAGUGCAACACUGGGAACACAUGUUACACCAGUACGCUCCAUUCAAUUUGAUUGGUUGUGAAAAAAGGUAAGAUAAAGCUUUCUGAAGGCCUAAUUGAUCAGGGUUUCUGGGCUAUGUCUACUAGUAUUGGAUGAUAUUAAAAUUAGGUGGCUGAACCAUUUUUGUGAGGUUGGUGAUCAAUAUGACUCCAGUUAAGCUAUGAUGACAUCGCUCUUUAAAAUGGUUGAGAACGUACACUAUUCCACAGCAAGCUUUUCUACUAUGUGCAGAGGGUCAGGCUUUAAAUCUCUCACCUCCCAAAAUGUCUCAGACCAGUUAGACGCUUCAAAAAUAUAAGAUGCACAAAAUGGAUUGCCCCCACAAGGCCUUUGACGAGGUUGCACUGAAUUCCCAAAGUUCCACACUGCAGAGGUACCCUACACAUGUUACAUUCUGGGGAAUUUCUUUUAUAAUUAAAAAUACUGCUAGUUCUCAAAUGUUGCCCCUUGUUGCCAAAGUUUGUCUCCCUUCCAUCCAUUCACAACUCAGGUAUCUCUUUCUCAAUCUCUCCCUUUGUGCCCCAGUGUUCAUGUUCAGCCACGUUUCCUCAGAGAUAUACUGUACGUAGAUCUUCCCUCUCUUGUCUGUGCCUACCAUGUGCUCUGUUUUGUGCCCAUUCCCCUUCAGCUGUACUAUAUUGCUUUCUUUGUCCAAAUGUGCUUCCUGUCUCCCCCUUGUGUCGUCCAGUCGUCUUUUCACCCGUUCUCAAUAUCUGCGUCCCUAUUUCUGUGAAACUGUAUCCCUGCAACACGCAGAGAGGAAUUGAAACAUCUUUGCCCCUGGUAAAAAAAAAUAUGAAUACACUGGCAUAACUGGAUUUCACCAGGAAGAGAGAUAGGAAUGGACUUUAAAAGAUUGUUGUAGAUUGGGAGGAGGGGAAAAAAGAAUGUGCUAUAAACGUGAUGUGUUCUGAGUGGACUGUCAGCCAAGCAGCGUCAGAGGGAGGAGAUGGAGGAGGAAAAGUUUGGGGAAGACAGAAAAGUUUGGUGAUGGUGAUGAUGAUGAGGAGGAGGAGGAGGAAGAAAGAAAGAAGCAAAAAUCACUUCUCCAUUGCUGAGUUUCUAACACUCCCUCCUCCCCUCCACAUGAGAAGAGGAAAACGUUGAGUUUUAUGCCACUGCUCCUCCAUCUCGCCUGAUGGAACUCACUGUUGAAAAUGGGAGAGAGACAGAGAGAAAGAGAACAAAAAAAGAAAAAAGAACACAAGAGGUUGAAAUCAUCAUAGUCGCUGACUGAAAUAUUUUUCAUCUGUGUGACACAUUCAUAUGCAACCUGGAGACAUUUUAACAUGGAAGUGACUGGUAAUCACGGCGCACCACGGUCUGGAUGCUCCCAGCUCAGCAGCAAGAGGAUUUGGAAACCAUGUGACAAGGACACCCUCCAUUUCCCAGUUGUGUUAUUCCUUUGACUGACUCCCCUUUAUUUCCAGAAGCUGCAUGCACAGCUAUUGAUUUCCAGCGAAUGCUCCUUAAUUUUGGCGCUCAAAGCACUAUGCAAGGUGAGGGGCGGUCCAUCAUGAUGUCGAACGGCUCCAGCAGAGUCUGAUCCAGUAUUGCUGCUCGGCUACAGAGGUCGGGCUGCCCUGCUAAUCUCUGCUGAACCACAGGACCUCUACCAGCCGGUGGGAAUCUGCUCAUACAUAUCAGAAAACAUCAGCCAUAUCAUAUGUAUAUUCGACGUAAAUCCUAUCUAUUUGACAGCAUCUGAAUCAUCUGAGAGACUGUUGGCAGCUUCGGACUUAAACACGAACACUGGGAUCUCCGUAAACCCUUGAGGAAUCACUUUUAGUCCACCUUGAGAUGGAAUUUAACCCAAAGACAGACACAAGGAUGGACAAACUAUUGGGGUGAACAGAAGCCCUAAAAGACAUGAAACUGGCCAUACCAUCUGCUUUUAAAGAAGCAGGUGUCAAUGGAAAUGAAGAUGUGAUGUGAUUGAGCCUCUUUCUCACUCUCUCUUUCCCUCUCAAGACUUUAAGGUAUCUUGACCUCCUCCUCCUGCAUCGCUGCAUCGCUGCUGCUGCUGCUGCCCUUCUUAAGCAAAUCUGCAUGGCAUGAAUGAAACCAAUUAAAACCAGAAGAAAGACAGUCAAAGACACAAUGGAUGGAUUAUAUAAGUGGAGCAGGAGUCCAUGAGAAAAAAUGGGAGAGAGACUGUCAAUUUCUUUUUUUCCCCCCAUCUAGCAAUGCCAAUGCAACGUCAUUAUCAUCACCAUGAAUUACUAUUAAACCCCAAAACUGGAUGCUAAAAUGUGGGCAAAACAGCAUCUCCUGCAGCAAACCGCUCUCUCUGACGGCAUGAUGGAAGAGGAGGAGCUGCCUCCUCCUCUGAGAGAACCAGGGAGUGGGGGAGGAGAUUCUGCAGACCAUACACUCAAUACCUCUGGGAAUGGGGCGAGGAGAUACAGGCUUUUAAAGAAAAGCAGAUAUUCAGCAGCAGCGGGAGAACAUCUUUGAGAAACUAUUCUAUGGACCAAAAAAAAAAAAAAAAACAUGGUGACGAUUGCAAAUUAGAAAUGCAUUUUUAUGACAUUGUUUACCAGCAUGAAUAUUCUGCAUGAC